rnacentral:rRNA from 1 species
AGAGUUGAUUCUGGCUCAGGAUGAACGCUAGCUACAGGCUUAACACAUGCAAGUCGAGGGCAGCAUGGAGUUUGCUUGCAAACUCUGAUGGCGACCGGCGCACGGGUGAGUAACGCGUAUCCAACCUUCCCUAUAGUAGAGGAUAGCCCGGCGAAAGUCGGAUUAAUACUCUAUGUUUUCCGUUGCAGACAUCUAAGAUGGAACAAAGGCUUGCCGCUAUAGGAUGGGGAUGCGUCUGAUUAGGUAGUCGGCGGGGUAACGGCCCACCGAGCCAUCGAUCAGUAGGGGUUCUGAGAGGAAGGUCCCCCACAUUGGAACUGAGACACGGUCCAAACUCCUACGGGAGGCAGCAGUGAGGAAUAUUGGUCAAUGGACGAGAGUCUGAACCAGCCAAGUAGCCGUGCAGGACGACGGCCCUAUGGGUUGUAAACUGCUUUUAUGCGGGGAUAAAGUUCACUACGUGUAGUGUUUUGUAGGUACCGCAUGAAUAAGGACCGGCUAAUUCCGUGCCAGCCGCGGC